CGAACGCUGGCGGCGUGCUUAACACAUGCAAGUCGAACGCGAAAGGGACUUCGGUCCUGAGUAAAGUGGCGCACGGGUGAGUAGCGCGUAGAUAACCUGUCUUCAUGUCUGGAAUAAUACGCCGAAAGGGGUACUAAUACCGGAUAUUCUUGCUUUUCAUAAGUUAUGCAAGCAAAGGUGGCCUCUGCAUAUGCUACUGCAUGAAGAGGGGUCUGCGUACCAUUAGCUAGUAGGUGGGGUAAUGGCCUACCUAGGCGACGAUGGUUAGCGGGUCUGAGAGGAUGAUCCGCCACACUGGCACUGGAACACGGGCCAGACUCCUACGGGAGGCAGCAGUGAGGAAUAUUGCGCAAUGGGGGAAACCCUGACGCAGCGACGCCGCGUGAGUGAAGGAAGGCCUUCGGGUCGUAAAGCUCUGUCAAGAGGAAAGAAGUGUACAAUGGCUAAUACCUGUUGUAUUUGACGGUACCUCUAAAGGAAGCACCGGCUAACUCCGUGCCAGCAGCCGC
rnacentral:rRNA from 1 species